rnacentral:tRNA from 1 species
GUAGGAGCCACUGGCUACAGGCUCUGUUGCUCUCCUAAAGCGGGUGCCGCAGGUUCGAAUCCUGCCGGGGGCACCA